UGGGGAAUUUUGGACAAUGGACGCAAGUCUGAUCCAGCCAUGCCGCGUGCGGGAAGAAGGCCUUCGGGUUGUAAACCGCUUUUGUCAGGGAAGAAACGAGUUUCUCUAAUACAGAGACUUAAUGACGGUACCUGAAGAAUGAGCACCGGCUAACUACGUGCCAGCAGCCGCGGUAAUACGUAGGGUGCAAGCGUUAAUCGGAAUUACUGGGCGUAAAGCGUGCGCAGGCGGUUAUGUAAGACAGAUGUGGAAUCCCCGGGCUCAACCUGGGAACUGCAUUUGUGACUGCAUAGCUAGAGUACGGCAGAGGGGGAUGGAAUUCCGCGUGUAGCAGUGAAAUGCGUAGAUAUGCGGAGGAACACCGAUGGCGAAGGCAAUCCCCUGGGCCUGUACUGACGUUCAUGCACGAAAGCGUGGGGAGCAAACA
rnacentral:rRNA from 1 species